CGGGAUGGACGUACCUCUGGUGUACCAGUUGUCCUGCCAAGGGCAUGGCUGGGUAGCUAUGUACGGAAUGGAUAAGCGCUGAAAGCAUCUAAGCGCGAAGACAACUUCAAGAUAAGAUUUCCCACCGUAAGGGUAAGACCCCAGAAAGACUAUCUGGUUGAUAGGUCGAAGGUGUAAGUGCAGCAAUGUAUUUAGCUUAUCGAUACUAAUAGGUCGAGGACUUGACCAAU
rnacentral:rRNA from 1 species